UGUCCUGCAGAAGUAGGGCGGAAGCCAGGGUGUCAGGGUUCUGUCUGGACAGCGGAUUUACAGCCAAGCCCCUAGUGCUUGUGGUCUCAAAGGAAUUAAGGUUUUAGGAAUUUCAUAAACAGAAGCAAGCAGAGGAAAGACAAUUCUUCAGUAACUCCAGUGAAGGGAAAGAGCUAAUUCUGAACAUCUCAGUGCUAACAACUGUGGACUUUAAAAUACACACCGGCUUCAAAUUGCCAUCUGCAUGUGAGUACCACACACCUGGAGCUCUGCACAACCCUCAUGCUGGCCAUCAACUUUUUAUGUGGAGUUAGGAAGAAACAAAGGAGGUGUCACUGUUCCAGCCCUGCCCAACAGCACAAGGUGUUCACAUCAGAAGCCAUAGAGAUUGGUGCAUGGACUUCAAGGAUAUCAGCUUCUGAAGUGCUGGUGACAGGCAGCAGCACCAGCCCAGCAGCAAAUGAAAGAAGAGGUUUGCUCUACGUGAAGUAAGGCAAAAGCUUUUCUGAAUCAAGUUGUCUGUAGAGAGAUUCACUCAGAGAGAAAAUUCCUUGCAAGGAUGGCAUAUCCUGUCAGCCUCAAUGGAAGACACAGAAAAUGCAGUAGACUGAGAUUAUUGCUGUGUCACUCAUCUUUCACUCCCUCUAACUUUUCCUGGUGAGUCAGAGCUGAGUUGCAUGUCGUGUUGCUGCUAUCAACCCUGCUGUUCCUGCUGUUUCCCAUCUGCACACUCCACACAAGCAGAAACCUCUCUGUCCU